rnacentral:rRNA from 1 species
CGCGUAGGCGGCCCGCUAAGUCGAACGUGAAAUCCCCGGGCUCAACCCGGGAACUGCGUCCGAUACUGGCAGGCUUGAAUCCGGGAGAGGGAUGUGGAAUUCCAGGUGUAGCGGUGAAAUGCGUAGAUAUCUGGAGGAACACCGGUGGCGAAGGCGGCAUCCUGGACCGGUAUUGACGCUGAGGCGCGAAAGCCAGGGGAAGGCAAACG